rnacentral:tRNA from 1 species
GGUGGGUUGUCUCAGUGGGUAGAGCUAAGGGCUCACGACCAGGAGAUCCGAGUUCGAAUCUCGCAAAAGGCG